GUAAGAAAACACACAACGAUUACCACAACACUACAGUUCCGAGCACCGCACACUCGGCAUAGCGACAAC
rnacentral:lncRNA from 1 species